GACGAACGCUGGCGGCGUGCUUAACACAUGCAAGUCGAACGGAAAGGCCCUGCUUUUGUGGGGUGCUCGAGUGGCGAACGGGUGAGUAACACGUGAGUAACCUGCCCUUGACUUUGGGAUAACUUCAGGAAACUGGGGCUAAUACCGGAUAGGAUCUCCUGCUGCAUGGUGGGGGUUGGAAAGUUUCGGCGGUUGGGGAUGGACUCGCGGCUUAUCAGCUUGUUGGUGGGGUAGUGGCUUACCAAGGCUUUGACGGGUAGCCGGCCUGAGAGGGUGACCGGCCACAUUGGGACUACGAUACGGACCAGACUCGUACGGGAGGCAGCAGUGGGGAAUAUUGCACAAUGGGCGGAAGCCUGAUGCAGAGACGCCGCGUGCGGGAUGACGGCCUUCGGGUUGUAAACCGCUUUCGCCUGUGACGAAGCGUGAGUGACGGUAAUGGGUAAAGAAGCACCGGCUAACUACGUG
rnacentral:rRNA from 1 species